rnacentral:rRNA from 1 species
AUUGAACGCUGGCGGCAUGCCUAACACAUGCAAGUCGAACGGCAGCACGGUCGUAGCAAUACGAUGGGUGGCGAGUGGCGGACGGGUGAGGAACACAUAGGAAUCUACCCAGCCGUGGGGGAUAACGUAGGGAAACUUACGCUAAUACCGCAUACGACGGUGACGUGAAAGUGGGGACGCAAGGCCUCACGCGAUUGGAUGAGCCUAUGUCCGAUUAGCUAGUUGGCGGGGUAAGAGCCCACCAAGGCGACGAUCGGUAGCUGGUCUGAGAGGAUGAUCAGCCACACUGGAACUGAGACACGGUCCAGACUCCUACGGGAGGCAGCAGUGGGGAAUAUUGGACAAUGGGCGCAAGCCUGAUCCAGCAAUGCCGCGUGGGUGAAGAAGGCCUUCGGUUGUAAGCCUUUGUACGGAAGAAAAGCUGCCGGUUAAUACCUGGUGGUCAUGACGGUACCGUAAGAAUAAGCACCGGCUAACUUCGUGCCAGCAGCCGCGGUAAUACGAAGGGUGCAAGCGUUAAUCGGAAUUACUGGGCGUAAAGCGUGCGUAGGUGGUUGUAAGUCUGUCGUGAAAGCCCUGGGCUCAACCUGGGAAUGGCGAUGGAUACUGGCUGACUAGAGUGCGGUAGAGGGUAGCGAAUUUCCGGUGUAGCGGUGAAAAUGCGUAGAGAUCGGAAGGAACAUCCGUGGCGAAGGCGGCUACCUGGACCAGCACUGACACUGAGGCACGAAAGCGUGGGGAGCAAACAGAAUU